rnacentral:rRNA from 1 species
UACGGGGGGGGCAAGCGUUGUUCGGAAUUACUGGGCGUAAAGGGUUCGUAGGUGGCUUGUUAAGUCAGACGUGGAAUCCCUCGGCUCAACCGGGGAACUGCGUCUGAGACUGAUGAGCUCGAGUGCAGGAGAGGAACGCGGAAUUCCAGGUGUAGCGGUGAAAUGCGUAGAUAUCUGGAGGAACACCGGUGGCGAAGGCGGCGUUCUGGACUGCAACUGACACUGAGGAACGAAAGCCAGGGGAGCAAACGGG